rnacentral:rRNA from 1 species
AGAAAGCGUAAUAGCUCACUGGUCUAAUGAUACCGCGCCGAAAAUUUAACGGGGCUAAGCAUAGUACCGAAGCUACGGAUUCGAUAAGCUGAUUUAAGUUUAUUAAUACACGCACGACGGGAGUUAGGUUAAGCGAGCGGUUUUUGCUCGCAAAAUUCCCCCAGGCAAGCAUGAGUUAAUAGGUUUAAAUCAGCUUAUCGAAUGGUAGGAGAACAUUGUGGCCGCCUGUGAAGGUACACCGAAAGGAGUGCUGGAGGUUCCACAAGAGCUUAUGUUGACACGAGUAGCGAAAAACAAGGUGAGAAACCUUG